rnacentral:sRNA from 1 species
GUCGUGAGAUGUUGGGUUAAGUCCCGCAACGAGCGCAACCCUUGUCCUAUGUUGCCAGCGGAUAACGCCGGGGACUCGUAGGAGACUGCCGGGGUCAACUCGGAGGAAGGUGGGGAUGACGUCAAGUCAUCAUGCCCCUUAUGUCCAGGGCUGCAAACACGCUACAAUGGCCAGUACAAAGGGCUGCAAACCUGCGAAGGUGAGCGAAUCCCAUAAAGCUGGUCUCAGUUCGGAUUGGAGUCUGCAACUCGACUCCAUGAAGCUGGAGUUGCUAGUAAUCCCGGAUCAGCACGCCGGGGUGAAUACGUUCCCGGGGCUUGUACACACCGCCCGUCACACCACGAAAGUCGGCAACACCCGAAGCCGGUGGCCUAACCGCAAGGAAGGAGCCGUCGAAGGUGGGGUCGGUGAUUGGGGUGAAGUCGUAACAAGGUAGCCGUACCGGAAGGUGCGGCUGGAUCACCUCCUUUCUAAGGAGUCAAGCAUCAUCGUUGGUCGGCAACCGCCGGCCCGGUGCAUGCCACUCCCAGUUGGUGCAUUGGUGGGUCAGCUCGGAGUCGGCGAUCGGUAGAGGUUUCCUCCUGGUCGUCGCCAAAGCGCUGGUCUUGUCUUCUCUUCCGUUUUGAGGGAGCCGGUCUCUUGUGACCGGUUUCUUCAGCCAUCGAACAAGGUGCGAUGGGCGAGUGAUGGUCCUUUCCGGCCGUCCAGUGCCCGUCCACCCGCUGUUCGCCGGCAGCUCGUAGGCCACCGCCCCUCUCGAGGGACGUCGUUGGCCUCGCCGUCGGGUCGCCCCUUGAGAACUGCAGAGCAAGCACGAGCAUAUUGUUCUUUAAUUUCCAAGCUACAAAGAGCCAACGGUGGAUGCCUUGGCGCCAAGAACCGAUGAAGGACGUGGGUGACUGCGAAAAGCUGCGGGAAGCCGUCGACCAGGCGUUGAUCCGCAGAUGU